AUACGGAGGGUGCAAGCGUUGUCCGGAUUUAUUGGGUUUAAAGGGUGUGUAGGCGGUGUAUUAAGUCAGUGGUGAAAGCCUGCGGCUCAACCGUAGAACUGCCAUUGAUACUGACACACUUGAGUAUGGACGAGGUAGGCGGAAUUUAUGGUGUAGCGGUGAAAUGCAUAGAUACCAUAAAGAACACCGAUAGCGAAGGCAGCUUACUAGGCCAUAACUGACGCUGAGGCACGAAAGCGUGGGGAGCGAACAGGAUUAGAAACCCUUGUAGUCC
rnacentral:rRNA from 1 species